rnacentral:rRNA from 1 species
UACAGAGGGUGCAAGCGUUGUUCGGAAUUAUUGGGCGUAAAGGGCGCGUAGGCGGCCACCGCAAGUCGGUUGUGAAAUCUCCGGGCUUAACCCGGAAAGGUCAAUCGAUACUGCGGGGCUAGAGUGCAGAAGGGGCAACUGGAAUUCUCGGUGUAGCGGUGAAAUGCGUAGAUAUCGAGAGGAACACCUGCGGCGAAGGCGGGUUGCUGGGCUGACACUGACGCUGAAGCGCGAAAGCUAGGGGAGCGAACGGG